rnacentral:rRNA from 1 species
AACGAACGCUGGCGGCAUGCCUAACACAUGCAAGUCGAACGAGACCUUCGGGUCUAGUGGCGCACGGGUGCGUAACGCGUGGGAACCUGCCCUUAGGUUCGGAAUAACUCCCCGAAAGGGGUGCUAAUACCGGAUAAUGUCUUCGGACCAAAGAUUUAUCGCCUUUGGAUGGGCCCGCGUUGGAUUAGCUAGUUGGUAGGGUAAAAGCCUACCAAGGCGACGAUCCAUAGCUGGUCUGAGAGGAUGAUCAGCCACGCUGGGACUGAGACACGGACCAGACUCGUACGGGAGGCAGCAGUGGGGAAUAUUGGACAAUGGGCGAAAGCCUGAUCAAGCCAUGCCGCGUGAGUGAUGAAGGCCUUAGGGUUGUAAAGCUCUUUUACCCGGGAUGAUAAUGACAGUACCGGGAGAAUAAGCUCCGGCUAACUACGUG